UGUUGCUGGUAUUUGCUGAAGGCUGAAGCUUUAAAUCUGAUUCACAGAUGCGACCACCUUCACUCCACAGUGGUUUCUUCUCCUCUCUUAAACAGGUUGAGAAGAGAUUGAAAUCAGAAGAUUCAUCGCACUUAAUCAAUCACUGUUCUUCAUCAUCAACAGAUCAUCUGGGUUCCCCCAUUUUUCUCAACUGUGAUCAUACCAACAACAGCUCGAAUCUCCAAGACAGCGAUCCUCCUCAAGAUUUCCUCUCGCAGUCCCUUGAUUUCCCUCCGACCCAGAAGGAGCCAUCACAACUGGACAUUAAACAACAAAAUCAGACUGUCGAUGAGGCCGAAGACAACAAUAUUGAGCAGUUAAUCGAAUUUCUGGGUUUGUCGGAGUUAAGAUUGGAAGAAGACGAUG